GGAUGGGGAGGAUAUUUCAAUUGCUCCGGGACUGAAGAAUCUCCUCACGUGGGCCAGGCCUUCACACACCCAAAGCGGAACCGCGUCGGCGAAAAGGAUUGACAACCGGUCUCAUGACCCAGGCAGAGAGGCAGAAACAGGCUCACCAAAGACAGGCCGCCAUGCGAGAAACAGCUUUGUGGUGCACAGGGCACAUUCGGCCAAGGACACACACGCACACGGGCACACACACACAAACCGACAGAGAGAGGGAAAGAAACACACAGAGACUGAGAGACAGAGAGAGAAGAGAGAAUGGGAGACACACACACAUACACACACAGACACACACACAGAGUCU
rnacentral:lncRNA from 10 species